rnacentral:misc_RNA from 1 species
GACAGCAUCAUGGAAAAAAAACAAUAGGGGGCUCUACGAGUACGUGUUGCACUUGCAUGCAUUUCAUUUUUCAUUUUUUUGUGCAGUCGAAGUAGUAGCUAACAUCUCUGUGACUGAACAGGUUUAGUAGCAAACCUUUUUUAAUUGUUUAAGGUUGUUGAUGAACUAACGACUGGCGAAAAGAUUCUUCAAGCUUCAACCAUGGCUGCUUGUGAUUUUGUUUCAGUUAUGCAGAAAGCUAGAACUGCAUUCGCAACGGGUAAGACUCGCGAUGUAAAUUUUCGAAUUCGUCAACUGGAGAGCCUUCUCCGCAUGUAUGAAGAAAAUGAGGCAGAUUUGAUGAAUGCGCUGUAUAAGGACCUUCGCAAGCCGAAACCUGAAGCCAAGUUGAUGGAAAUUGAAGUUCUCAAAGGGGACGUGCGAACCAUGAUUCAGAAUUGCAAAGAGUGGUCAAAACCUCAACGGGUUCCUAAAACCCUCGUUACCAUGAUGGACACUCCCGUCAUUCUUCAAGAUCCAUAUGGAGUUGUUUUAGUUAUUGGAUCAUGGAACUAUCCCGUUCAGCUUUCACUUAUACCCGUUUCAGGAGCAAUCGCUGCCGGAAACUGUGUUAUUAUCAAGCCAUCGGAAAUUGCCCCGGCCUCGUCUAAAUUGUUAGAAGAGUUAAUUCCUCGUUACUUGGAUCAAGAAUGUUUUCAAGUCGUAACUGGAGGACCUUCAGACGUUCAAGAAUUACUAAAGCAAAAAUUUGAUUACAUUUUCUUUACGGGAUCCACAAAUAUCGGAAAAAUAGUUCGUGAGGCAGCCAACAAACACUUAACUCCAGUUACGUUAGAACUUGGAGGGAAAAGUCCCGUUUACGUUGAUGAGUCAGUUGAUAUGACAAUCGCUGCGCGUCGCAUCAUUUGGGGGAAAAUGGUUAACUGUGGCCAGACUUGCAUCGCCCCCGACUACAUUCUUUGCAAUAAAUCUACACGGGAUCGUUUGGUAGAUAAGAUUCGGGAAAUCUUGAUCGAGUGGUAUGGCCAGGACCCACAAAGUUCACCUGACCUGUGCCGAAUUGUAAAUGUUCGUCAUUUCCAACGUUUGCAAGCUAUGCUCGGCAGUGGCAAGGUAGCCAUUGGAGGCAAAAGUGACGCCGAUGACCUAUGGAUAGAGCCAACUGUGUUGAUUGACGUUAAGCCUACCGAUGCUGUGAUGCAAGAAGAGAUAUUUGGGCCAAUACUUCCAAUUGUGGAAGUUGAAAGUGCCUAUGAUGCAAUUCAGUUCAUCAACGCGCGAGAAAAAGCGUUGACGAUUUAUAUCUUCUCGCGAAAUGCAAAGACGCAGCAGGCCUUUUUAGAGGAAACCUCUUGUGGUAGUGUGUGCGUAAAUGACACGAUGAUGCAAUUUACUGUGGAAGAAUUGCCAUUUGGAGGUGUUGGCGCUAGCGGGAUAGGCGCCUACCAUGGAAAAUAUAGUUUCGACACCUUCACGCACAAGAAAUCUUGUUUAAUCCGGUCCUUUGACAAGAUGGGAGAGGCGCUCGGAAAAGAUCGCUAUCCUCCUUAUACGGAUGAAAAAAUCCGCCGGUUAAUUUUUCUUCUUAAAAAACGCGAAUUACCCAGUCUUCGCUUUGUUCCUUAUGUAGCCAGUUUUGCCUUAGGCGUUGCUUCUGCCGUACUUGUGCGCUAUCUUGCCAAGUUAUGGGCAAGUUCCCAUCUCUACAAAAUGGUUCGAAAAAUCCAGCAUUGAGUUGACGAUAUCCUCCCAAUGCACAUCCUGACUUACACAGUAAUACCUAUUUUCCCUCUACGAACGUUGCCGCGACUUUUUUUUUUUUUUUUUUUACUUUACUUUACUUUAUUAUAUCUACCGUGCCAUCUUUACCAACUGUAGUCUAGUCAAAGUUUCUGUUGGUGAAAACAGCGUCGUUUAUUUAGAAAUCAAGGAAUUGGGUUUCGAAGAUAAGUUACCUGAUGUUAUGGGUUAAUAACCAGUGGACCAGUUAUUCUGAGUUUGGAGUAUCGCAAGACUUCUUCUAGACUAUUGGUGUCCUUCUACAUAAAAGAUUAUUAUGAUUCCAUAUAGUCCCCCUUUAUUGGUUCUUCAUAGUUUUCGUUUCUAUUGGGAAUACAUAUACAUUACUUGUUACUUAUUAA